CCUACGGGCGGCAGCAGUGAGGAAUAUUGGUCAAUGGGCGUGAGCCUGAACCAGCCAAGUAGCGUGAAGGAUGACUGCCCUACGGGUUGUAAACUUCUUUUAUAAAGGAAUAAAGUGAGGCACGUGUGCCUUUUUGUAAGUACUUUAUGAAUAAGGAUCGGCUAACGCCGUGCCAGCAGCCGCGGUAAUACGGAGGAUCCGAGCGUUAUCCGGAUUUAUUGGGUUUAAAGGGGGCGUAGAUGGGUUGUUAAGUCAGUUGGGAAAGUUUGGGGCUCAACCCUAAAAUUGCAAUUGAUACUGGCAGCCUUGAGUACAGUUGAGGUAUGCGGAAUUCGUGGUGUAGCGGUGAAAUGCUUAGAUAUCACGAAGAACUCCGAUUGCGAAGGCAGCCUACUAACCUGCCACUGACACUGAUGCUCGAAAGUGUGGGUAUCAAACAGGAUUAGAUACCCUAGUAGUC
rnacentral:rRNA from 1 species